AUAACGACUCUCGGCAACGGAUAUCUCGGCUCUCGCAUCGAUGAAGAACGUAGCGAAAUGCGAUACUUGGUGUGAAUUGCAGAAUCCCGUGAACCAUCGAGUCUUUGAACGCAAGUUGCGCCCGAGGUCAUUAGGCCAAGGGCACGUCUGGCUGGGUGUCACAC
rnacentral:rRNA from 1 species